AGGAUAAACGCUGGCGGCGUGCCUAACACAUGCAAGUCGAACGUCUCUUCUUUCGGGAAGAGGAGUGGCGGACGGGUGAGGAACACGUGGGAACCUGCCCUUUAGUGAGGAAUACCGGCGAGAAAUCGCCGACAAGACCGCAUAGCCCUCUUUGAUGAGAGUCAAAGAAGGAAAGCUUCGCAAGAGGCGCUAGAGGAGGGGCCUGCGUCCGAUUAGCUAGUUGGUGGGGUAAGAGCCUACCAAGGCGUCGAUCGGUAGCUGGUCUGAGAGGACGAUCAGCCACACUGGGAUUGAGAACGGCCCAGACUCCUACGGGGGCAGCAGUGAGGAAUUUUCCGCAAUGGGCGAAAGCCUGACGGAGCAAUGCCGCGCGGAGGAUGAAAGCCUAUGGGUUGUAAACUCCUUUUAUCAGAGAAGAAAUAUUGACAGUAUCUGGGGAAUAAGCAUCGGCUAACUCCGUGCCAGCAGCCGCGGUAA
rnacentral:rRNA from 1 species